AGUCGAGCGAAGCACUUUGCUUAGAUUCUUCGGAUGAAGAGGAUUGUGACUGAGCGGCGGACGGGUGAGUAACGCGUGGGUAACCUGCCUCAUACAGGGGGAUAACAGUUAGAAAUGACUGCUAAUACCGCAUAAGACCACAGCACCGCAUGGUGCGGGGGUAAAAACUCCGGUGGUAUGAGAUGGACCCGCGUCUGAUUAGCUAGUUGGUAAGGUAACGGCUUACCAAGGCGACGAUCAGUAGCCGACCUGAGAGGGUGACCGGCCACAUUGGGACUGAGACACGGCCCAAACUCCUACGGGAGGCAGCAG
rnacentral:rRNA from 1 species